UUUUUUUUCCAAUUAAAUGAUAUCAAGAGUCAGCUUUUGAACAUACUAUUACAUCUUUACACACAUUAUUAAUGCUUGCUUUCUAUUUUUGUGCACAAUUAUACCGUAGAUGAUUGAUGGCUGAUGGUUACCUUGUUAGUUAAGUUAGUUAUUCUGUGUAGUAAAAUUUUCUCGUAAUGUCAAAACUGUGAACAUUUUGGAUCAAGAACUUGAGAUGAACAAAACAAGAAUCAUUCAUAACAAAGGCAGUGAAAAGGUUUCGAGUUCAAGAACUAUAUCACCAAUUCUUAGUAUACCCACUGAAUUAAAUUUUGCAUCCCAUGUAAGUUGUACUGUAUAUGAUACUGCAUCUCCUCUUCAUCUCUCUCUUUCCCUCUCUCUGAUAAAUUGGCAGGCUGCAGAGAAACCACCCGUGAUUUGUGCUAAGAGAGAGAGAGAGAGAGA
rnacentral:misc_RNA from 1 species